UGCCACAGUCGUGGUUUGCGUCAUCGAUGCGAAAACUGAAGGAUGCUGAAUGGGAGGAUUCGCUGUCUUGAGAGUUCUCACAGGCCUGGUGUCCCGGGGAAGGUCCAAGACCAUGGUGGUAUUCCUGGCUUCAGCAUUGAGGGCCUGCAGCUUCCUGAGGAAAUUCCAGGGCAAGUCUUUGGGAGUCUGAGGAGCCCAGUUCUUCAUGCUGUCACUGCUGAUCUGUAAGGCGUCCUGGAGGCUGAGUUUCUGUGUUUGGUCCAUGAUCCUGCCCAGUAUGGUGCUGGAAUCCAGAAUCCCAGUGGGACAGAAGAAAUGGAUUUGCUCCAAGGUGGGCCCAAACCCAACUUUACCUGCAAUGGCCACAGCUGUUCGUCUCUCAGAAGCUUUUAUUCCUGAUGCUACUUCUCCCAAAUCUGAGUGUCUGAAACAAUUUCAGAAGAAAAUUAUUAUUAAAUUAAUGAAAUACCACUUUCACCUAUCAAAUUGGAUGCACAUCAAAAUCUCUUAAGAAGCCUUUAAAAACUACAAAUCCUGGUAACACUUCAGAUCCUCAAAACUAGAAUCUUGAAGCCAGGCCCACAUGUGUCUAAAAAAAUCAGCACUCAAAAACUGUGGAACAGAGCCAACAGCCAUCCAGAAAAGCAUAAAAAAAUAUAUACCCUUUGACCAGUAAUUCCACUUCUAUCCUACUGAAACAAUUAAAAUUUAGUUACAAAUAUGUUGAUGCCAAGUGGAUAAAAGAUAGAUUUUCAUUGUUUUACACUACUAUGUGAAAAAUUGGACAUCUUUUAAAUCAAAGUCCAAUAACAGGAAUUAUGGUACAGUCUUAUUGUGUAAUCAUUAAAAAAUAUUCUGUGGAUCUCAUUUUGUGGGAAAAAAAGAUGCUGUAUGAUAUGGAAUGAUGUUAAUGAUAUUUUCAUUGGUUGGGGAAAAGCCAGGUUACAGAAGAGUAUGUAGAGUGUGAUUACUAUUUAAUAAAACUGUCUUUCUAUCUAAA